CAGUCGCCGCGGUAAUACGAAGGGGGCUAGCGUUGCUCGGAAUGACUGGGCGUAAAGGGCGCGUAGGCGGAUUGUUUAGUUAGGCGUGAAAUUCCUGGGCUUAACCUGGGGACUGCGCUUAAUACGUGCAGGCUUGAGUGUGGAAGAGGGUCGUGGAAUUCCCGGUGUAGAGGUGAAAUUCGUAGAUAUUGGGAAGAACACCGGUGGCGAAGGCGGCGACCUGGUCCAUUACUGACGCUGAGGCGCGAAAGCGUGGGGAGCAAACAGGAUUAGAUACCCGUGUAGUCCCUGUCUCUUAUAC
rnacentral:rRNA from 1 species